rnacentral:rRNA from 1 species
UAGGGAAUCUUCGGCAAUGGACGAAAGUCUGACCGAGCAACGCCGCGUGAGUGAAGAAGGUUUUCGGAUCGUAAAGCUCUGUUGUAAGAGAAGAACGGGUGUGAGAGUGGAAAGUUCACACUGUGACGGUAUCUUACCAGAAAGGGACGGCUAACUACGUGCCAGCAGCCGCGGUAAUACGUAGGUCCCGAGCGUUGUCCGGAUUUAUUGGGCGUAAAGCGAGCGCAGGCGGUUAGAUAAGUCUGAAGUUAAAGGCUGUGGCUUAACCAUAGUACGCUUUGGAAACUGUUUAACUUGAGUGCAAGAGGGGAGAGUGGAAUUCCAUGUGUAGCGGUGAAAUGCGUAGAUAUAUGGAGGAACACCGGUGGCGAAAGCGGCUCUCUGGCUUGUAACUGACGCUGAGGCUCGAAAGCGUGGGGAGCAAACAGGAUUAGAUACCCUGGUAGUCCACGCCGUAACGAUGAGUGCUAGGUGUUAGACCCUUUCCGGGGUUUAGUGUCGCAGCUAACGCAUUAAGCACUCCGCCUGGGGAGUACGACCGCAAGGUU